rnacentral:lncRNA from 1 species
UACCCAGGUCAUUGUAUCUAUAAGAGAGAAGUUACAAGGUGUUAUCACAUAAGUACCUUGUCCAGCAAUUGAUUGCUUCUUCUUCUUUGGCCUGUUCAGGUCAAGAAAAGUGAUAUACUAAGGAUAAUUCCUCUUUUAGUGACCUUGCUUCUUGUAAAAGAAGCACUCUGUCUGACUUUGAUCAGCCUUGAACUUGGGUUUCUGAGACUGACUCCCAGCACCAGGCACCUUUUUAUUCUUCUUCUU